rnacentral:rRNA from 1 species
UGGGGAAUAUUGGACAAUGGGCGAAAGCCUGAUCCAGCCAUGCCGCGUGUGUGAAGAAGGUCUUCGGAUUGUAAAGCUCUUUAAGUAGGGAGGAAGGGCAGUAAGCGAAUACCUUGCUGUUUUGACGUUACCGACAGAAUAAGCACCGGCUAACUCUGUGCCAGCAGCCGCGGUAAUACAGAGGGUGCAAGUGUUAAUAGGAAUUACUGGGCGUAAAGCGCGCGUAGGUGGUUCGUUAAGUUGAAUGUGAAAGCCCCGGGCUCAACCUGGGAACUGCAUCCAAAACUGGCGGGCUAGAGUAGGGCAGAGGGUGGUGGAAUAUCCUGUGUAGCGGUGAAAUGCGUAGAUAUAGGAAGGAACACCAGUGGCGAAGGCGACCACCUGGGAUCAUACUGACACUGAGGUGCGAAAGCGUGGGGAGCAAACAGG